CUGUCUCUUGGAGUUCCUCUGAGCACUUCAUUCGUGGGGCUACUUCUAUUUUGUGUUGCCCUUAACAUAGAUAGAAUGGUCUUCAUCAGCGAGGUGAAGUGUUUGGGGGAACUUUUGGGUACAG
rnacentral:pre_miRNA from 1 species